rnacentral:rRNA from 1 species
UACUUUUGAAACUACUAAGCUUGAGUACUGUAGGGGAUAGCGGAAUUCCUAGUGUAGGGGUGAAAUUCGUAGAUAUUAGGAGGAACACCGGAGGCGAAAGCGGUUAUCUGGACAGUCACUGACGCUGUUGCACGAAAGCGUGGGGAGCAAACAGGAUUAGAUACCCUGGUAGUCCACGCAGUAAACGAUGAGUGCUAGAUGUUGGGAUUUAAGUCUCAGUGUCGCAGCUAACGCGUUAAGCACUCCGCCUGGGGAGUACGGUCGCAAGAUUAAAACUCAAAGGAAUUGACGGGGACCCGCACAAGCGGUGGAACAUGUGGUUUAAUUCGAUGCUACGCGAAAAACCUUACCAGGCCUUGACAUGGUGAUCAUAUGGCUGUGAAAGC